UACGUAGGCAGCAAGCGUUGUUCGGAAUUACUGGGCGUAAAGAGUGUGUAGGCGGUGCUCUAAGUUCGGUGUGAAAUCUCCCGGCUCAACUGGGAGGGUGCGCCGGAAACUGGAGUGCUGGAGCGCGGGAGAGGAAAGCGGAAUUCCCGGUGUAGUGGUGGAAUGCGUAGAUAUCGGGAGGAACACCAGUGGCGAAGGCGGUUGCCUGGGGCUUUGCUGACGCUGAGGCGCGAAAGCGUGGGGAGCGAUCCGG
rnacentral:rRNA from 1 species